rnacentral:rRNA from 1 species
UACGAAGGGGGCUAGCGUUGCUCGGAAUUACUGGGCGUAAAGCGCACGUAGGCGGAUUGUUAAGUCGGGGGUGAAAUCCUGGAGCUCAACUCCAGAACUGCCUUCGAUACUGGCGAUCUCGAGUUCGGGAGAGGUGAGUGGAACUGCGGGUGUAGAGGUGAAAUUCGUAGAUAUUCGCAAGAACACCAGCGGCGAAGGCGGCUCACUGGCCCGAUACUGACGCUGAGGUGCGAAAGCGUGGGGAGCAAACAGG